CCAGGCUCCUGCAGCUCCACAAGCAUGCAGCUGGAGAGCAAGACGUCAGCCUCCUCUUCUGGGCAGCGUCCUCUGUCCGGAUUUAGGAUUCUCCUGGGAGGCUCUCCUUUGCCUAGUUCUGGGGGUGGGGCUGGAGAGGGAGUGGUACCCAUUCACUAACACCAUCCACUCUCGCUGCCUCCUCUUCUAAACAGCUCUAAACAGGAAAGAAUGAGGAGCUGAGGGGCUGGAGUGGCUCCUGGCAGCAGGGCCGGUUCUGCCACCUCCAGGACACCCCUGAGGAAGCUGCCUGGCUCCAGCCUUCUAUCAUCUCUUCAGGAAGUGGGCUUCUUAGCAUCUUUGGCCUCAGCUGUGGGUCCAGGCCAAGAGACCAACAGCUUGAAAUGACCAGCGCCUAGAGAAAUGUCCGGCACAUCGCAGGCCCCUACCCUCUGAAAGGAUGUCUUUGUGGGAGGACAGUUGUGGCUACAGUGAAUUUGUGUUGAGAGGUACCUCUGCAGUGACCUUAUGCCCUUCAACUCAAAGGACAGAGGAGCUGCUGGAAACCCUGGAUGCCUGCAGCUCUUACCUG